rnacentral:rRNA from 1 species
GAUGAACGCUAGCGGCAGGCCUAACACAUGCAAGUCGAGGGGUAGAGUUCUUCGGGACUUGAGACCGGCGCACGGGUGCGUAACGCGUAUGCAAUCUACCUUAUACAGGGGAAUAGCCCCAGAGAAAUUUGGAUUAAUGCCCCAUAGUGUUAUCGAAUCGCAUGGUUUGAUAACUAAAGUUCCAACGGUAUAAGAUGAGCAUGCGUCCCAUUAGUUAGUUGGUAAGGUAACGGCUUACCAAGACAAUGAUGGGUAGGGGUCCUGAGGAGGGAGACUCCCCCACACUGGUACUGAGACACGGACCAGACUCCUACGGGAGGCAGCAGUGAGGAAUAUUGGACAAGUAGGGCGCAAGCCUGAUCCAGCC